UGUACGCUGAAGCUUCAGACCCAGCGCAGCCAAAUGACGUAGCAAAGCUUGAAAGCAAGGUGUUCUCUGCUCCUGGUGGACAGUGUACUCUGCAGUUUGCUUACAGUAUGUACGGGGAAGAUAAUAUAUACGUGGGGGAACAUAUGGGAGCUUUGAAUGUCUAUAUUAUUGACGUAAAAACUGGACAAAAGUCCAAUAUAUUUUCAAAGUCUGGUAACCAAGGACCACAGUGGAUUAUAGGUCAUGCACCUUUUACAAGCAAACAUGAUUACAAGAUUUCGUUUGAAGCUACUCGUGGCAAAGAAUUUAGAAGUGACAUAGCAUUGGACAAUAUCGUGUUUAAAGGUGAUGGAUGUCAUAUGAAAAAAGACAACUAUAAGAAGUUGGGAUGCUUCAAGGACAAGAUGGACGUCAAUGGCAGACCUUUUCCAAAACUUUAUCGUAAACUACAGGGGUAAAAUUGACUGGAAUGACCUGAAGACGUCUGUCAUCGACAAGUGUGCUAAAAAGACCAAGGAACUUGGAUACAAAUAUUUUGGAAUCGAGUUUUAUGGCGAAUGUUGGAGUGGCGAUGAUCAUGYAGUGAGUUAUGGCAAAGACGGCUCGUCGGACACUUGCAUUAACGGUGUUGGCAGAGAAAAGUCUCUUAUGGYCUACGAAGUACUUGAAAACUCAGAGGYAGCAUAAAAUUAAUGGCAAUUCAUCGAAUGGAUUGAUAAUAAAUGUG